rnacentral:rRNA from 1 species
AUUGAACGCUGGCGGCAUGCCUUACACAUGCAAGUCGAACGGCAGCACGGGCUUCGGUCUGGUGGCGAGUGGCGAACGGGUGAGUAAUGUAUCGGAACGUACCUUUCAGUGGGGGAUAACGUAGCGAAAGUUACGCUAAUACCGCAUAUUCUGUGAGCAGGAAAGCAGGGGAUCGCAAGACCUUGCGCUGAUUGAGCGGCCGAUAUCAGAUUAGCUAGUUGGUGAGGUAAAGGCUCACCAAGGCGACGAUCUGUAGCGGGUCUGAGAGGAUGAUCCGCCACACUGGAACUGAGACACGGUCCAGACUCCUACGGGAGGCAGCAGUGGGGAAUUUUGGACAAUGGGGGCACCCUGAUCCAGCCAUGCCGCGUGAGUGAAGAAGGCC